rnacentral:lncRNA from 1 species
AAACAUAAAAGAUAACAAAGAAAACCCCAUUUCACUCUCAAAGGAAUGGCGAUUAUAAACCGGAGCAAGCUGACCCAAACGACUAUGAUAAAGCAAAUCUUGAAGAGGUGUUCAAGUUUGGGAAAGAAACAGAGCAGUGAGUAUAACGACGAACAUGAACAUGCUGGAGACUCUCUUCCUCUGGAUGUUCCCAAAGGUCACUUCGUGGUCUACGUAGGAGGGAAUCGGGUCAGGUACGUCUUACCCAUUUCGUUUUUGACCCGACCCGAGUUUCAGCUUCUUUUACAACAAGCUGAGGAAGAGUUUGGCUUCGAGCACAACAUGGGUCUCACUAUCCCUUGUGAGGAAGUAGCUUUCAAGUCUCUCAUCACCUCUAUGCUUCAAUCCACAUAUAUUUAAUUAGGGUUUUUAUUUUUAAUUAAGCAUAAAGAUCUGUUUUUAAUUAGCUUUCUAAAAAUUUUGGUGAUUUUGGGGUACAAUAGGGUAAAUGUUUCUAAUUAGAACGAGACCAACUUUAGAGAUACCUCCAAGAUUUGUAGGGGGGAAAAUAAGCAGAUACUCUGAUAAUUUUUCUCGUUGUGGUAGUGUGAUUAUCUGUACAACCCAGUGAUGGACUAUUAUAUCAUAUCAGUGAUGAAUGCU